UACGUAGGGGGCAAGCGUUGUCCGGAAUCAUUGGGCGUAAAGAGCGUGUAGGCGGCCCGAUAAGUCCGCUGUGAAAGUCCAGGGCUCAACCCUGGGAUGCCGGUGGAUACUGUCGGGCUCGAGUCCGGAAGAGGAGUGUGGAAUUCCUGGUGUAGCGGUGAAAUGCGCAGAUAUCAGGAGGAACACCGAUGGCGAAGGCAGCUCGCUGGGACGGUACUGACGCUGAGGCGCGAAAGCGUGGGGAGCGAACAGG
rnacentral:rRNA from 1 species